rnacentral:rRNA from 1 species
CCUACGGGUGGCAGCAGUGGGGAAUAUUGCACAAUGGGCGGAACCCUGAUGCAGCGACGCCGCGUGAGUGAAGAAGGAUUUCGGUAUGUAAAGCUCUAUCAGCAGGGAAGAAAAUGACGGUACCUGACUAAGAAGCCCCGGCUAACUACGUGCCAGCAGCCGCGGUAAUACGUCGGGGGCAAGCGUUAUCCGGAUUUACUGGGUGUAAAGGGGGCGCAGACGGCUGUGCAAGUCUGGAGUGAAAGGCGGGGGCCCAACCCCCGGACUGCGCUGGAAACUGUAAAGCUGGAGUGCAGGAGAGGUAAGCGGAAUUCCUAGUGUAGCGGUGAAAUGCGUAGAUAUCAGGAGGAACAUCGGUGGCGAAAGCGCUUUACUGGACCAUUAUUGACGCUGAGGAACGAAAGCCAGGGGAGCAAAUGGGAUUAGAUACCCGAGUAGUC